ensembl:lncRNA
AUGAGCGUCACUUCCUGGGAUCCCGUUUCGCUUCUGGUUCAUGGACUGAGGGCUGCUGUGAUUUUGGCUUUGCAGGACGAUUGCGGCAACUGUAGUUAUCUCCGUGGCUGCAGAUAUUGUGGCUUUGACUUAUUGUUGGUGGCGGCGUGUGUCUCGCAUCUGCAUAUGCGACUACAUUCAGAUGACGACUGUAUAUGCUGAGUUAUUCUCCUUGCGUAUCCUGAGCUUCACCGGCUGAGUGAUUAAACCGAAACUAUACUUCGCAUUGCAUCUAUGGAGUAUUAUCUUCACUUCUACUGACUCCCGGGUCCCUGUGCCUGUUAUCUGGUAGGUCUAAUUAAGGUGGGUUUUAUUACAUAAAUGUUUUAUGGUGACUGGUUAACAUGACUAGUUUUCCCCUGUGUUGUAGAGUGAUAGGGGCACGCAGUGACGUCACCGCUGUC